AGUGAACGCUGGCGGUAGGCCUAACACAUGCAAGUCGAACGGCAGCACAGUAAGAGCUUGCUCUUACGGGUGGCGAGUGGCGGACGGGUGAGGAAUACAUCGGAAUCUUCUUUUUCGUGGGGGAUAACGUAGGGAAACUUACGCUACUACCGCAUACGACCUACGGGUGAAAGCAGGAGAUCUUCGGACCUUGCGCGAUUGAAUGAGCCGAUGUCGGAUUAGCUAGUUGGCGGGGUAAAGGCCCACCAAGGCGACGAUCCGUAGCUGGUCUGAGAGGAUGAUCAGCCACACUGGAACUGAGACACGGUCCAGACUCCUACGGGAGGCAGCAGUGGGGAAUAUUGGACAAUGGGCGCAAGCCUGAUCCAGCCAUACCGCGUGGGUGAAGAAGGCCUUCGGGUUGUAAAGCCCUGUUGUUGGGAAAGAAAAGCAGCAGGUUAAUACCCCGCUGUUCUGACGGUACCCAAAGAAUAAGCACCGGCUAACUUCGUG
rnacentral:rRNA from 1 species